GACGAACGCUGGCGGCGUGCUUAACACAUGCAAGUCGAACGGUAAGGCCCUUCGGGGUACACGAGUGGCGAACGGGUGAGUAACACGUGGGUGAUCAGCCCUGCACUUCGGGAUAAGCCUGGGAAACUGGGUCUAAUACCGGAUAGGACCACUGCCUGCAUGGGUGGUGGUGGAAAGCUUUUGCGGUGUGGGAUGGGCCCGCGGCCUAUCAGCUUGUUGGUGGGGUGAUGGCCUACCAAGGCGACGACGGGUAGCCGGCCUGAGAGGGUGACCGGCCACACUGGGACUGAGAUACGGCCCAGACUCCUACGGGAGGCAGCAGUGGAGAAUAUUGCACAAUGGGCGCAAGCCUGAUGCAGCGACGCCGCGUGGGGGAUGACGGCCUUCGGGUUGUAAACCUCUUUCAGCACCGACGAAGCGCAAGUGACGGUAGGUGCAGAAGAAGGACCGGCCAACUACGUGCCAGCCGCCGCAGUAA
rnacentral:rRNA from 1 species